rnacentral:hammerhead_ribozyme from 1 species
GUCCAGCUGAUGAGUCCAAAAUAAGACAAAACGCACUUUCUGGAU